GUAAGUUGAGGGAAUAAUCAAUCUGACUUGGGCCCAAAUUAAUUGAUUGUUUGGGGCCCAAAUUCUUGUUCAGAGACCUGGGCUGAAACUAACGUGUGGGUGACACAUGUGCCAAUUUUUAAAACCUUCCCCUCCCAUCUGUGAGCCCACAUGACUUUCCAGGGGAGCCACUGACUUGACAUCCUUUUCAAGGUGGAUCCCAUUAUAAACUAAAGGGUAAAGACUUCUUCCAUUACCCAUCAGACUACUGUCUACAUCUUCUUCUUCCCUCAAAGAUACCGCCACCACAGUUGCCGACGAUUCACACCAGACUUGAAUUUAUACAAAAAGUCGUCACUUUCCAGUGCUAUCUCUCUUGGUACCUUGCCCCCAUCCCCCCUCAGUUUAAUCCUAGCCCAUCCGAGGUGGUCUUUGAGCAUUGUUUCCUCUGUUUCUAUUCGUCCCCCACAUUGAUUUCCUAUAGUUUUGAGCACUUUUUCCAACCAAAAGUUUGCCGGAAGAUCCAAAAGCCUAAUCCACACCCAAUCCUGCUUCACCUCCUCCGGCCAGCAUCCAGUGGCAGGGCUCCACCAGCCCAGACUGACUUCUGAUUUAUUCCAUUGCCAUUCUCCAUUAAGAACAUGCUCUGCUUCCUUCCUCGAGGGGAAUUCAAAAAGAAACUGAGAGUCAUUCAUCUCAUGGACAUUGAGAGGGUAGACUUCAAGUGUUGCAUGCCCAUCUUCUAAUGUCGUUCAGGGUUGGUGAUUCCUUCAUGGAGAUCAGAACUUUGCUACAAUGCAUCUACUCAUUACGUUAACUCUGAUCAACUUGGAAUUGUGAUCUUGGACUUGUUGAUUUUGAUUGGAGAUGAAUUUGUUCCUUCUGAUGGCCACCUGCUGAUUCUGAUUGCUUCCUUAAAAGAAGUCUCCAAUUGAGGGAUGUUUUCCAACUGAAUCUUCUUCUCUUUAUCAGGAACAUUAAUGAGCCUAAGGAUUGUCUAGGCUAUAUCUUUUUCUUUGAGAAGGUAAAGUGUCCAGUAUAUUCAAAAAAUCAUCAGCACAGUUGUGUUGGAAGCCAAAAUAGGCAAUUACAAUAUGAAACAACGAAAAUAUAGUCCUUGUUCUUCUUACAAGGAACUCAAAACAUCUAGGAUUGAAUCAGGAUCCUCUACAUAUUCUGGUUUACACCAAAAAGAAAAAAAAACACUUCAUCUUAAUCUUUUGUAGAGAGUUGGUUCUAUCUUCAAAGCAUCUCAGGUUCAUUUCUUUCCAAAUUGUCCACCAAAUAGUUGUUGGGAUAUUUUCCAUCUGUGGUAAAGUCUACCUUUGUGUUCCAGCAUAAUAAAAGUUCAGAGGUGCUCCUCGGCAUUAUCAUCUAGCACCUCUGAGAUUCAUGAACAAAUCCCAUAAUUGGCUGGUCACUCUAUAAUGAAGAAACAGAUGGCUGAUUGUCUCAGCAUCAUUCCCACACAAAUAACAUCUUGAAACUAUUGGUAUACCCCUCUUCCUUAGAUUAUCCUUAGUGAGGACAACCUCCCUAAUUACCAACCAGGUAAAACAUGCCACUUUAUAAGGCGCUUUUACUUUCCAUAUGUGUUUCCAAGGCCAUAAACUGAGUUGAGAUCCCUCUCGGUUUAAAUGCCCACUACUGUGUUUUUUCCAUCUGAGUGUAUCUUCACCCACCUGUAGUCCGCUACAUUGUUCUACUGUUCUAUAAAAUUCAAUCAUUCUAGGCACCUCUCAAUCCUGUAGGAAUCUUCUGAAUGUCAGAUUUCAACCCUGUGUAGACCAUAGUUCCUUCAUAGUAAUCCCAUGUUGUUUGAUUCAGAGUAUAGGUGUCAGGAUAUAUUUGUUUUAGACUUCCAAUUCCCAACCAAUUAUCCUCAAAUUGGUUUGGCCUGACAUAGUACUUCCAUCUUUCACAAUAAUACUCAGCUUAUCUUUCAGGUUUGGCCUCAAAUUCCUUAUGGAUCUCCAGAGAUUGACCCCAUAAGGAGUAUGUACCCCUUUAGUCAUUCAAAAUCCUUCCUUUUCAUAUUUUUCCCUAAUUACCUUGCCCCAUAGUACUUGCACCUCUUUUGAAAACCUCCAUAGCCACUUCAUCAAUAGACCUUUGUUUUGCCUUCUUAAAUUCCUAACUCCCAGUCCUCCUCUUUGUUUACUGAUAGUCAGGGUCUUCCAUUUAACUAAAUGGAUCCCUUUCUUAUCUUUGUUUCCUGGCCACAAAUUUUUUCUCAAAACUUCCAAUCUCUUCUCCACACUUGCUGAUUAGGGGAAUAAAGACAUCAUAUAGGUAGGAAAUGCAUCAAGAAUUGAAUUGAUGAGCACCAAUCUGCCUCCCAGAGACAGAUAAUUGGAUUUCCAUCUUGCAAGCUUUUUUCACACCUUUCCUAAACAUCAUUCCAAAUGUCUUUGGGCUUGCUUUUUGCUCCCAGAGGCAUACCCAGGUAAAUAGUUGGAGUUGUUCCAACUUCCCCACCUAAAAUAUCCACCAACAGUUGUAUCCUAGGUACCUCAUUUACUGGAAAAAUCUGGUUUUUUUCUCCAAUUAAUGUGAGCCCAGAUAUAGCUUCAAACAAUACCAAGAUAACCCUUAAAUGUCUAAAUUGACUCUCCUCUGCAUCACAGAAAAUCAAGGUAUCAUCUGCAUACUGAAGGUGAGUAAUUUCCAGCUUGUUUGUUUGAAUAUUAGCCACAUUGAAUUAAUUAAUCCAGCCGUUUCCUUGAGCAAUCUUCAACAUGUUGUUCAAUCCUUCCCUAGCUAGUAUAAAAAGAAAAAGAGACAAAGGGUCCCCUUGUCUCAAUCCUCUUUGGGAGGGGAAAAAUCCUUCAGGAGAUCCAUUUAUCAAGAUUGAGAACCUGACAGUGCUAAUGCAGAACUUUAUCCAGUUGAUCCAUUUCCUUUCGAGCCCCAUUUUCUGUAAGAUCCCUAGUAGAAAUUCCCAAUUUAAUGAUCAUAAGCUUUUUGAUAUCUAACUUGCACAUUAUGCCGGGUCUUUUCUCCUUUAACCUAGAAUCCAAGCAUUCAUUGGCUAUCAAAACUGCAUCUGUAAUUUGUCUGCCUUAAACGAAUGCCAUUUGAUGAGAGUCAAUUAGUUUGUGCAUUACCUUUUUAAGUCUUUCAGUGAGAAAUUUGGAGAUCGGCUUAUAGAUGUUGCCGAUUAAACUAAUAGGUCUGAAGUCCCUUAAUUCCUUGGCACCAUUCUUUUUAGGAAUCAAAGCUACAUAUGUGGCAUUGAAGCUUUUUUGAAACAUCUCCUGAGAGUGAAAAUUCUGGAUAGUAGCCACAACAUCUGACUUAACUACCUCCUAGCACUUGAUAAACAUCUCCUGAGAGUAAAAAUUCUGGAUAUUAGCUACAACAUCUGACUUAACUACCUCCCAGCACUUGAUAAAAAACCCCAUAGAAUACCCAUCUGGACCAGGAGCUUUGUCUAUUGCACAUAGCUUUAAACAUUCAAGGAUCUCCUUCUCAUUAAAGGGACUUUGCAAUGCUUGUUGUUCUUCUUCCGUGAUAGUAGAACAAUUAUGCAUACUGCAAGAGGGUCUCCAGUUUUCAGUUUUAGAGUAAAGCUCAGUCUAGAAAUUUGUGAUCUCCCUUUUGAUAGCUUCUGGUUCUUCAAUAGCCUCCCCUUCCACCAACAACUGAUCAAUGUUGUUACUUCUUCUAUGAGCGUUGGCCAUUCUUUGGAAAAAAUUUGUGUUCCUGUCACCCUGCUUGAGCCAUAGAGUCCUGGAUCUUUGCCUCCAUGCUAUUUCUUCCCUUUUAACAUUUUCUUCAAAUUCCAUGUAAAGAUUUGCCCUUUUGAUCUUUUCCUCUUCAUUCAGACCUCUUAGCUGUUGGAUUGCAUCCAAUUCAGAUAUUUGAUGCAGUAUUAAGUUUUUCCUUAUCUCCAAAUUAUCGUAAUUGCUUUGACUCCAUUCUUUCAAUCUCUUUUUGAGUGCUUUGAGCUUACAUGCAAGAAUGUAGUCGGAUCUGCCUUCAAAAAUAAAAGAAGUCCGCCAAUUUCUAACUCUAUCAGUGAAGCCUUCAGUCUCCAACCACCAAUUGUCAAACUUGAAAUAGGAUUUCUUCUGUUCCCAUUUACUGCAUUGCAACACUAGUGAUGUAUGGUCAGAACAAACUCUGGGUAAAAUUUCUUGUUUGAUGUUCGUAAAACAAUCAUUCCACUGCAGAUAUAAGGAACCUAUCAAUUCUGGGAUGAGAUCUCUUGAUUGUCCCCACAAGUCCAUGUAUAAACUCCCCCUAUCAGUUCAAGAUCCACUAGUUCCAUGUCUUCAAUAAAAUCAGAGAAAUUUGUCCUUGCUCUGGUGUUUCUUGUGCACUUCCUUUUUUCCGAAGGGAAUCUAAACUAUGUUAAAAUCACCCCCUACCACCCAAGGACCUGUGAAAAAGACCCCUCACAGUUCCAAUUUCCCACCAAACUCUCUCUCUUUGUUGCAAUUUGGAGCAUAAACCCCGGUGAAAUGCCAAAUGUAAUCUUGAGUUUGAGAUUCAAAUCUACAUGUCAGAGAAUAAGAGCCAGUAGUAACCACCUCCCCCUUCCAAAUCUUACUAUAUCCCACAUCACUAGAAUAGC
rnacentral:lncRNA from 1 species